UACGGAGGCCUCAAGCGUUGUUCGGAAUUACUGGGCGUAAAGGGAGUGUAGGUUGCGACGUAAGUCAGAUGUGAAAGCCCUGGGCUUAACCCGGGAACUGCAUUUGAUACUGCGUUGCUUGAGUACGAGAGAGGAAAGGGGAAUUCCAGGUGUAGGAGUGGAAUCCGUAGAUAUCUGGAGGAAUACCGAUGGUGAAGACACCUUUCUGGCUCGUUACUGACGCUGAGACUCGAGAGCAUGGGGAGCAAAC
rnacentral:rRNA from 1 species